GGUUGAUCCUGCCAGUAGUCAUAUGCUUGUCUCAAAGAUUAAGCCAUGCAUGUCUAAGUAUAAACAUCUUUAUACAGUGAAACUGCGUACAGCUCAUUAUAUCAGUUAUGAUUUAUUUGAUGGUACCUUACUACAUGGAUACCCGUAGUAAUUCUAGAGCUAAUACAUGCGUAAAGUCCCGACUCGUGAGGGGAGGGAUGUAUUUAUUAGAUACAAAAUCAAUGCGGGUUUCGGCCCGGUUUUUUGGUGACUCAUAGUAACUGUUCGAAUCGCAUGGCCUUGUGCUGGCGAU
rnacentral:rRNA from 1 species